AACUGGUGUCUGCGGCUCUGAGGAACCCGGACUGUAAAAUACAGAGACUGGAGCUGGACAGUGUCGGUCUCACAGAUUCUGGAGCCGAGGAUCUCGUCUCCGCUCUCAGUACAAACCACUCACUGACGGGGCUGAUCCUGACAUACAACUCCCUCACAGACCGAUGUGUCCCCGCUCUCAGCCGCCUCAUACUGAACCUCCCGAGACUGGAGCUGAUCAGGCUGGCGAGGAAUGAGUUCAGUACGACCGGGAAGGAGAAACUGAGGUCGCUGCAGGAAUCCAGACCCGGAGUGAGUGUGGACGUGUGAACAUCUCGUGGUGUAAACGUCACCGCCCUGGGGACCGGAAUAUUGUUGGCCGAUUCCCCGCUCUCUCCUUUAAACGGCCGCCCUCCCCUUUAAACCCCAACGCUUCCCGGGCCGGCCGGGCAGUGACAUCA